AGUGAGGUGGCUGAGUGGUUAAGGUGGAGGACUGUUAAUCCAUUGUGUUCUGCCUGCAUGGGUUCAAAUCCCAUCCUCACUG